UUUCCGUAGGUGAACCUGCGGAAGGAUCAUUAUUGAAUGAAACACUUCUGGCUUUAUGCUGUUGUGCUGGCCCUUUGGGCAAUGUGCACACGGCUCUGGUCACUUGUUUCUUCUGUUCCACCUGUGCACUGCCUGUAGACACGCUGUGUCUAUGAUAUUUGUUAACACACAACAAUGUUAGUUGGCAUGUUAUAUAUAAUAAUAAAAUAUACAACUUUCAACAACGGAUCUCUUGGCUCUCGCAUCGAUGAAGAAUGCAGC
rnacentral:misc_RNA from 1 species